AGACCAUGAUGAGGACACUCUAAGAGAAAGUCUUUGAAACGUUCCAUGCAUCAAGAGAAUGAUUCAUUGGGUCACUGGUGAAACUGGAGAUUGUCGUUCCUAAGAUU
rfam:Cephalotus follicularis DNA, scaffold: scaffold1221, isolate: St1.